UACGUAGGGCGCAAGCGUUAUCCGGAAUUAUUGGGCGUAAAGAGCUCGUAGGCGGUUUGUUGCGUCGGCUGUGAAAUCCCGAGGCUCAACCUCGGGUCUGCAGUCGAUACGAGCAAACUAGAGUGUUGCAGGGGAGACUGGAAUUCCUGGUGUAGCGGUGAAAUGCGCAGAUAUCAGGAGGAACACCGGUGGCGAAGGCGGCUCUCUGGAACGCAACUGACGCUGAGGCACGAAAGCGUGGGGAGCAAACAGG
rnacentral:rRNA from 1 species